CACGGCGGCUUGACAGUCAGAUGCUGAGCACUUUACAAGUGUAAUAUCACCAAUUUUUUCCAUUUAUUUAUUUUAAUUCAAAUCUCCUCCUUUUUGUUUUGAUUGUUUUUAAGGUCCAACCUGCUGUUGAUGAUGUGGGGAGCCACAAUGAUUUGUUUCUUCUUUGUGGCGGCACAGGUAACAUCACAAGAAAUUAAAGUCGAAUGCCGUAAACAUGAAAGUCAUGUGGCACCUCCAGAAAGUGAUUUCUCUCCAUCCUCCCUGAAGGAACUGAGAGGGGAGUUGGUGACAGAUGGAGCAAAUGAUAUGAUAAACAUAAGCUGGGCAAUCAGUG